AUGUACCCACGUACAUUCCGGUUCCUCCGCGCCGUCCGCACCCACCUGACGACUGCUCGCUAUGUUUUGUUAGCC
rnacentral:sRNA from 2 species